ACUCUCUUUGCAAGCAACACAAGCACCAUACCUCUUUCUGCAAACAUCACCAACACUUGUCCUUGUCUCGUCACUUCAAAAUUCAAAAUAAAGAUCCCUCACUUUACCUUGUCUUCCCCCUUCUCUCCUAAAACCCUAGCAGACAAAGUUCUCUUCAUUUUUCCCUUUUCCAUGUCUCUCUAUUUAAUGGUUCCUUUCGAAAACUAUUUCCUCUCCUCCUUCUUCUUCGUUAAACUAUGGAGGCAUGUCUGUUAUUAUCAAUAAUGGUGGAUCUGACGGUGCUGGUUAAGAGAUGUUGGUGGUCUCUGAAAAACUAAGGGUGAAGAUCUCACAUUUGAUGCUUUGAAGAAUAACUACCUUCUUCUUCAGUUGUCGAGUUGUCGCAUAUGUUUGUUUCAAACUUGCUCCAAAUUUGUGUUUUUGAGACAUCUUGAUGUUCUGCUACAAAUUUUGAAGGAGAUGAACUAACUCCAUCUGCAAAAGUAUUGAUUUUUUCACUCAGCUACUAAAUACUUUUCUUUACUUUUGUUAUCAUUAGAUAUCUCCGAACAAAGUGUCAAGACCUCCAAUUCUUAUCAGGGACUUGAAACCUAAACAAAACGUUUGGAAAAUUGUUAUUUGUGUCGUGGAUCUAUGGAUCUUAAAGAAACAUAAUGGACAAUAACAUCUUGAAGCUAUUAUACAAUAUGCAAAGGCUGGAGAAACUCCGACAAACACACGCCGAUAGCGUAACAGCUGGAAAAUUCAUGGAAGAGGUUAGACACUCCCGUAAGCUUUGUAAAUCAUAGUUAUGUAAUCAAAUGUGUAACCUGUAAGUUUUUAUAGUUUUAUGUAAUCAAAUGGCCAAGCUUGACGUUCCCGUGAAACUUGUGAUAGACUUCGCAGUGGCUUAUACCAUGGAUGACAUGGACAUGGUAUUUGUCGGAGCAGAUGGAGUUGUUGAAAAUGGUGUUAUAAUUAAUAUAAUGGGAACAUAUCAAAUUGUGUUGGUUGCAAAGAGUAUGAAUAAGCAGGUUUUUAUGGCUGCUGAAAGCUACAAGGUGCAUUUGACUAUUUACUACUUACAAUUAUCAAUCUAAUAUUUUAGCUGUUGUUUCCU